rnacentral:lncRNA from 1 species
CUUCUUUUCUUUACCGUUUCAGUAAAUCGAUCAUUUUCAUUCUCAUGAUUUAAAAUCGAUUAAACUCUGUUAAAAAGAUAUUUAAUUUUCAUUUAAUUUACCAUUAAUGUUAUAAAUGACACAAAAAGUUGAAAGUUAAUAAUUUCUUUUUUUUUAAUGACGGAGGAUUCUCAAAUAUGAAAACAAAAAUGAUUGAUUUUAACGAACAACAACGUUUUUUUUUUUUUUUUUAUCGUUUCUCGACAAAAAUUAGUUUUUCGAAUUUCAAGGUUAAUUGUGUGGUCUAAUUCUUGAAUCACCAGCACCAAACCAAGCUUCUGAAAUAGUUGCUAACUGUGUUUGGAUUUUGGAAAAUUCAGGUUUGGAUUGAAAAAGCAGAUUCUUGAAGGAGGAAUUGCGUUUAAUAAAGCGCACGGAAUGCAAAUCUAUGAUUACCUAGGCGUCGACUCAAGGUUCAAUGAUGUUUUCAAUAAUGGAAUGUUAAGCCACACUUCUAUUGUCAUGGAGAAGGUCCUAGAAUCAUACAAAGGCUUUGAGCAUGUUAAGAAGCUUGUUGAUGUUGGCGGCGGCUUAGGAACUACCCUGAACAUGAUAAUUUCCAAAUACCCUCAUAUUAAGGGUAUUAAUUAUGAUCUGCCUUAUGUCAUUAAAGAUGCCCCAUCUUAUCCUGGUAUGUUAUUUACAAAAUUUAUAUAGUAUGUUGGGUAAUGAUUUAUUGAUGCUACCCUAACUAAAAGAUGUGAAUUUAUUUAAAUUUCAGGCAUCGAACACGUGGGUGGAGAUUUAUUCGAAAAUGUUCCUGAGGCGGAUACCAUUUUCAUGAAGGUUUUUUCUCUCUAUCUAUAUAUAUAACUUUGAAAUGAUAAUUAUCAAGAGAAUGACAAUUUUCUCCUUACUGCUUUUGAGUUUUACAAUUUACUCAUUUGACGUCAAUUUUUUCAUUGAAAAACUCAAAAGGAUAACAAGAUAUUAUGAAAAUCGAAAAAAAAACAAUAAAACUCAAAAAUAGUAUACCGGAAAAAGUGUAAAUCUAUCUUGUCUAUGAAUUGAUAAUUGAUAUUCAAUUACAACUAAUUAAUGAGAAUUGAUAUGUAUAUGAAUUUUUUUUUGCAGUGGAUGCUUCACAAUUUUGAUGAUGAGCAAACUUUGAAAUUGUUGAAGAAUUGUUACAAAGCUCUUCCAGAUGGUGGGAAGCUGCUCAAUAUUAAUUCAACAAUUUCAGAAGUGCCUCAAAAUAGUGCGGCUUCAAGGGAAAUCUCUAUUUUGGAUACAAUUUUGUUGAUCCAAAUUCCUCAUGGAAGAGAGCGCACCAAACAAGAAUACAAUGAAUUGGCAAUUAAAGCUGGAUUUAAAGGUGUCAGCUACGAAUGUGGUGUAUGUAAUUUAUAUGUUAUGGAGUUCUUGAAAUAGAUUGCUUUUUUCUCUAUUCGGAAAGAUCUCCUUAGCUUUCUUGGGUUGUUUUCAAUUUCCGGUUUGUCUUGUUAUCUCUUUCCUUUGGAUUGAGGGCUUCUCUUAUGUAAUCUCUUUCGUUUUAUCAAUAAUAAAUCUCUUAUAGGGAGAUUGAUUCCCGUAUAAGGCAGCUCUUGCGUCAUCUCUUUCAUGAAUCAUGUUAUCAAUAAUACACCUUAUUGAAGAUGCCAAAAAUUCGAAUGUAGCAUUUUUUUUUUCCUGAAAAUUUGAAAAUAUUUGAAUUUAAUUAAUUUGAAACUCUGGUUAAAUCUAAAUAUAUAAACCUAAAUGAUAUUUCAUUUUUCUUUGUUAAAGUCUAAUCAUACUUAUUUUUAUUGGUAAAAACAUCCUAAAAACUAGUUUUUGACAUAUAUGUCUUUAAAUUAUUAUACACUUUUGUGUUUGUUGUAUUUACAUGUACGAAUAUUUAUAAUUAGAUAUUUGACAGGUACAAACAAAAAAUUAUAUUAAUAUGCUGUGUUAACUUUCAAAAGCCCAUAGUCCUUUUUGGACCAUAAAUAGAUAGAUCCACCCUUGUGUACAGGGCUGAUUUUUCCACAGAGCAGGCGUUUUGACACUAUUCUAAAUUCUUUAUAAAAUCUCUCUUUAAUUAAAUUACCUAAAUAACUAAGAAUAAAUUAAUUUCCUUUUUGUUUUGAAUGAAAAAUUAAUUAAACACUGAAAUAAACUAUUCUUUUAAUUUUUUACGCCCACCCAAUUUCAUAAUUUAUGCUUAUAUUUUAAAAUGCAAUUGAACAUAAUUUUUCUUAAGAAACUUUUAACAAUUAUGAAGAUAGAAAUCAUAUAACAAGAAAAAAAUAUUGUAAGAUUUUAAUAUUUGUAUGCAUUUAUAAUUAAAACAUAAAAGAAAUACUAUUUUUGGGUCAAAUUUAAUGACAAGAUGAUUGAUUUUAAUUUAUCAGUAUUUUAUAGUUAAAUUGGGGUAUCUUAAGCAAUAGGGUACAAAAGGGGUGCUGUAAGAGCUUUUUGCUUUAAGGAUUUUUUUAAAGUAUCUUAAAAGCUCCACUCUUUUUGAUAUAUCUAGAUUAGUGGUGAAUACUCUCUAGAUUAGUGGUGAAUACUUUAUAACAUGGUUUUUUUUUUUUUACUUUUAUAAUAAUACUUGACAUUUAAUAUUUAAAUCCUAAUUUGAAUCUUAACUAUAUGUCACUUAUCUAUUAAAUAAUGAAUAUAAUAUUACUUAUUACUCUAAUCGAUCAUCUAAUAAAUUAAUGUCACAUUUAAUGAGACUUAAAAUUUAGGAUCUAUAGCAUAAGUCACUAGAGUAGGAAAAAAAUUUGAGUUCCUUUACUAGACGAGUAUUUUGAUUAGGAAAAACUCUAUAAUGUUGUAAUUAAAAUGACGGUAUCAAUACCGUGAUAAAUACGAAUUUUUUAAAUCACGCAUAAGGCUAGUAAAUGAAAAGUAAAAUAAAUAAAUCAAUAUAAAGUGGUAAAUUGGCAUCUUAAAACUGCAAACUAAACAAAUACUUAUAAAAAUAACAUAAAACUUGUAAAUCAACAUUAAACUUUAAUUAAAAAAUAGUUUAUUCUCAUUCAAAAAAUAGUUUAUUCAUUUAAUUUAAAUAAAUGAUGAAAAAAUCACUCAUCAAUUGAAAAAAAAAAUUAAAAACAAUUGUAAUAAGUUUUAUUGAAUUGGUUUAACUAUAUAUUCUAUAUUCAUCCUAGGACAUUUACCACAAAAAAAAAAAAUUCUUUCUAUAGAUUUUGUUAGCCUAUAUGGCUAUAGAUAUUGAUUUUGAUGAUAACAAACCACAUAUAUUGAUUAAACAAAGAUUUAUGAAUUGUGCUUUUAUAAUAAGAAAAUGAUGUUAUGGAAUUAAAGUGUUUUGGACUAAAAUGAAAGUAUUUUAAAACCUUUGAUAUUGUUUUAAAAUUUCAGAUUUGGACAUAUUUGAAACUAUUUAAAUAUUUUGGGUCAUUUUAUAAUUUCACAUAGUUUGGGUGAAAUCAUAAUUUCAGAAAGUUUUGAGAUUGACAAAGUAUUAUUUAGAAACUCUGAAAUUGGACCUAUUUGAAAGCUUUCAUAACGUUUUGGGCCAUAAUAUAGUUUUAUAAAGUUUUGGGGUCAAACUAUAAAUUUAGAAAAUAUUUCACGGUAGCAGUUACUGUAGCAAGCGUCUAACCGGAUAUGGUAAACGGCAAUCCGAAUUUUAGGCAGUAAGCUUCUGGAGCAUAAACGACUAUCCGGAUUUCAAAAGCGGCUAUCCGGAUUUCAAAAGCGGCUAACUGGAUAUGAAAAGCGGCAUGCCGGAUAUUCUGAAAUUCAAAUUUUUGCUUUAACGGUAACAUGAAAGCGGCUAACCGGAUUCCAUAAACGGUAAGCCGGUUAUGACCAAAAAGUGCAUAACGACUAGUUUUUGAGCUCAAACUAUAUAAACUCAAAACCAAUUCAUUUUUGGUAAUCUUGGCAAGCAAAAAAAAGUGCACACAACAUAUAUUGAGUUUCAAUUUCGUAAAUCAUCAUUUAUUAAAUCAUCUUUGUUCUUCAAUUUGUAUAUCCACUCUUAAAAGAGAGUUUCAUUGUUGUAAUUUUCAUUUCUCAUCAAAUUGUGAGUGUACAAGUGUGAGAAACACUUGGGGUGAAGAGAUUGGAGAGAUAAUCUCUUGUUGUAAAGGUUCAUUGACACCUUGAAGUCAAUUGUAAAUGUUUGAAGCCUUGGAAAGGCUCGGAUAGUGAAAUCCUCAAGUCCGGUGUGCUUGGAGGCGUGGACGUAGGCGGGAAUUGCCGAACCACAUAAAAAUCCUUGAGUUUGCUUUCUCUUCCCUUGCUAAUUUUUUAUUGUGCUUUCAUUGAAUUUAUUAUUUUCGAAUUUAUUAAGGCAUUAGAUUGGAUUGUUGUGUGGUUUGCUUAGCUUAAUUUUUAAAAUCUCAAUUCACCCCCCCUCUUGGGUUGCCUAGUUAGUAUUUCAUUUGGUAUCAGAGCGAGGUGCUCUUGUGUAGACUUAACCAUCUAGAGUUAAAGAUCAAUGGCAACCCAAUAUGACUCAACAUUUAGGGAAUGACAGUCCACAAUUAGACCACCGUUCUUUGACAGAAAUGACUACUCGUAUUGGAAAACUAGGAUGAGAAUUUAUUUACAAGCACUAGAUUAUGAAAUUUGGGAAGUUGUUUGUGAUGGUCCUUUUAUGCCUUGGAUUAAAAAUGAAGUCGGGGAAGAUAUUUCAAAACCUUCACGGGAAUGGAAUGAAUUGGAAAAGAGAAAAGCUACUCUAAAUUCCAAAGUUAUGAAUGCCUUGUUUUGUGCACUAGAUAAGAAAGAAUUUCAUAGAGUAUCUAGUUGUGAGAGUGCUAAUGAAAUUUGGCACAAACUUGAAGUUGUUUAUGAAGGCACGAAUCAAGUGAAAGAGUCUAAAAUUUGUAGGUACACUCGGCAAUAUGAAUUGUUCCAAAUGGAACAAAAUGAGAGUGUGUAUUCUAUGUAUACUAGAUUUACGGACAUAGUGAACACUCUAGGAGCCCUAGGAAAGACUUUUUCAAAUAGCGAGAAAGUUAAGAAAAUUAUUAGGUCGCUACCUAAGGAAUGGAGACAAAAAAGGACUGUAAUUGAGGAAGUCAAAGAUUUAAAUAUCUUACCUAUUGAUGAUUUAGUUGGUUCUCUUAUUUCUUAUGAGGAAGACUUGGCAGCCGAAAAAGGCAAUGGGGAGAAGAAUAAAAGCAUUGCUCUCAAAGCCUCAAAAUAUAAGAGUGAUGAGGAAAGCGAGCUGGAUGAGGAGGAGAUGGAUAUGCUGGCUAGGAAGUUCAUAAAUUUUUUAAGAAAUCCAGUGAGCGAAGAAAAUUUAGAGACCUCAAGAACCGAAAGGAGAAGAAGGAAGUAAUCAAAUGUUAUGAGUGCAAGAAACCUGGCCAUAUAAGAUCAGAAUGCCCUCUUCUCAACAAGCUCAAAAAGAAAGCAAUGGUAGCCACAUGGGAUGAUAGCGAGGAGGAAACAAGUGAUGAUGAAGAGCAUCAAGAAAUGACAAAUCGAUCUCUUAUGGCAAUUGGAGAUGAAUCGGAUGAUGAACUUGAUGAGGUAAAUGAUCUUCCUACUUAUGAUGAAUUACAUGAUACUUUUAAAGAAUUGCAUGAUGAGUGGAUGAAAAUUGAUAAAAAGAAUACAUGUCUUAAAAAGAAAAUGGUAGAGCUCAAAAAUGAAAAUCAAUCUCUAUGUGCAAAGAUUACAUGCCUAGAAUUAGAGAAUAAAAUAUUGCAUGAUAGAGUUGUAUUAUCAAAUGAGAAACCUAGCACUUCACAUGAGCAUAUAGAAUAUCACAUAGAUGACUUGAAAAAAGAAAAUGAAAUGCUUAAGAAGAAGAGCAAUGAGUUAAAUGAGAUUGUUUUAAAAUUUACAAAUGGACAAAAGAUGUUGGAUAACUUGAUUAAUUCACAAAAAUGUGUGUUUGAUAAAGGAGGACUUGUUUAUAAGUCAAAUUUGAAACAAAAGUAUUAUAAGAACUACUUUGUGAAGAGUACAUCUAUUAACAAUCAAGUUGUAUGUCAUUAUUGUAAUCAAAACGGUCACAUAAAGUUUGGUUGUCCUAUCAAAAGAAAAGUAUAUUAUGGAGUAAAAUGUGUUUGGGUUCCAAAAGGAACCAUUGCUAACACUCAAGGACCCAAUAAUAUUUGGGUACCAAAGGACACAACGUGAAUGUUUUCUUUGUAGGUACCACAAUCAAGGAAUUGGGGAGAAAUUCCUUGAUGAAAGCUUGUGAGGAUAAUCACUUGAGUAUGAUCUAAGAGAAAAAGAUGAGGCAUGAUGAUUUAAUUGUUUUGGUAACAAUUCUUGCCAUAUUAAUUUUGUUGAAUGAAUCAUGAUAAAUGAAUUUGCGAAAGUAUGCUUGUAUGUUUACAUGAUGGAAUUAUCAUUGUGUAUAACAUUGAGUGAUUUAUCAUGAUGUCUUUAUUUGAUUUUGAUGAUUGUAUGGUCUUUGAUUUCAUCUUCUUAAUUGUCUAUCAUCAUUGUCCAUCUCUUAUAUAUGUGUGAACUCAUAUGCCAUUAAUUGUGUUAUAUCAUCAUUCAUUUAUAAAAUUGACAUCAUUGUUUGAUACGAUUUCAUAUGUUUGGUCUUGUAUACAUUUAUGUCUCAUGCAUGAAAUGGCUUAUUGAAAAAUUUUGAAUCUCAAAAUGAUUCAAAAAUUGAUCAAUUUUUAAGCUGAAAAUAAAUUGGUGUGUGUAAUACAAGUCUAAGAAUUUACUAAACUUAAAAAAUAUUCUCCAUAUUUUAACCGAUAAACCUCUUCUAAUCAAUCGAAAAACCAUUCUUCUUAUUGAUUAUUCUCUAAGUCAUAUUCCAGAUAACCGGAUUGGAAAACCAGUAAACCAUUUAAAGAGAAUUUGGUUUCUGGAAAGAACCGGUCAGCCGGUUAUGAAAUCCGGAAAACCGGAUCUAGUUUGAUGCUUGCUGGACACAACCGGAUAGCCGGUUAUGAGAUCCGACAAACCGGAUUUGCGUUGUUUACUUGCUGCCUCCAACCGGAUAACCGGAUUCGUGACCAUUCAUCACUGGACUUAACCGGAUUACCGGUUAUGUAAACCGGAAACCUGAAUUCACGUUGCACACUCACUGGACCACAACCGGCUAACCGGUUAGUGAAAUCCGGUAAGCCGGAUUCGGGCAUUCAUAUUUUGUUCAUCCUCUUCUCCUUCAUUCAAUCAAUUGGUUACUCUCUCACUAAAAACCACUUCCUCUCUCACGCAAUAUCUCUCUAAAAUCCAUCAAUCUCAUCCUUUUUCACUUCAAAUCCUUUAUACUUGUAUUUGAACACACCAACAUUUACUAUUUUAUUUUUCUUUUAUUUUGCAUUUGGAUUAUAUGGAUGUUUGCUAUGAUUUUGGAUUAUAUGUCUGUUUUGAAUAUGGAUUUGAUAUAGUUAUAUGUUAUGUUCUUUACUUAUGUUUUGGAUAAUUUUGAACUAAUGUGCUUGAUUUGAGGUUUUGAUGAUUGAUAGAGGGAGACAAAUAUGAUAUGUUUUUUGAUAAAAUCAUUUGGUUAAAAUUUUAAAUUGGUCAUAUAUUUAAGGGGAGCAUAUAAUAUGAUUUUGAAUAAUAUGCAUUUUGAACUUUUUUAUUGUCCAAAGGGGGAGACAAAGUAAUAUAUCAUUUCGAUGUUGUUAAAAAGAGGAGAAUAAUAUACACUUUAAGUAUUCUUUUAAUGAUUGAUAUUUGAUUAUGAUGAUGAUUUUGAGAUAAUGAUGAUUUGAUUACAUAGUUGUUUUAUAUGAUAAUUUUAUGUUAUGAGUUGUUGAUUUGGUAAUUAAUGGAAUAAUGGUUCAUGAUAUUUUGGUGUGAUGAUUUGUGUAUGGAGUUGGCUUGUAUCAUGAUUUAUAAUAAUUUGUGAGUAAUAUUACUAAACUUAUAUUUGAGGUAAUGCUUGUUGUUAGGGGGAGAAUGUGUUGAAAUUUCUACUCGGACAAACAUGAGUAAUAAAUUUGUUACUCUUAUUCUUUUCCUUUAAGCUUUCUUUUUUAUGAUGAAGGAGGAGAAUAAUAUAAAAAGUGUUAUAAAAAUAUGCAUGUAUCCAGGGGGAGUAUGCAUGUAUGCAGGGGGAGUCUUUUUAAAUAAUUUUUAAAUCAAAUUUUUAACCUUGCAUUGAUUAAGGGGGAGCUUUUCAUAACUAGAUUAAAUUUUUAUAAUGUGCUUUGUCAUCAUAAAAAAUGAGGAGAUUGUUAGCCUAUAUGGCUAUAGAUACUGAUUUUGAUGAUAACAAAUCACAUGUGUUGAUUAAACAAAGAUUUAUGAAUUGUGCUUUUAUAAUAAGAAAAAUAUGUUAUGGAAUUAAAGUGUUUUGUACUAAAAUGAAAGUAUUUUAAAACCUUUGAUAUUGUUUUAAAAUUUUGGAUUUGGACCUAUUUGAAACUAUUUAAAUAUUUUAGGUCAUUCUAUAAUUUCACAUAGUUUGGGUGAAAUCAUAAUUUCAGAAAGUUUUGGGAUUGACAAAGUAUUAUUUAGAAACUCUGAAAUUGGACCUAUUUGAAAGUGUUCAUAACGUUUUGGGCCAUAAUAUAGUUUUAUAAAGUUUUAGGGUCAAACUGUACAUUUAAAAAAUAUUUCCACUCUUAAAGAGAGUUUCAUUGUUGUAGUUUUCAUUUCUCAUCAAAUUGUGAGUGUACAAGUGUGAGAAACACUUGGGGUGAAGAGAUUGGAGAGAUUAUCUCUUGUUGUAAAGGUUCAUUGACACCUUGAAGUCAAUUGUAAACGUUUGAAGCCUUGGAAAGGCUCGGAUAGUGAAAUCCUCAAGCCCGGUGUGCUUGGAGGCGUCGACGUAAGCGAGAAUUGCCGAACCACGUACAAAUCCUUGAGUUUGCUUUCUCUUCCCUUGCUCAUUUAUUAUUGUACUUUCAUUGAAUUUAUUGUUUUUAAAUUUAUUAAGACAUUAGAUUGAAUUGUUGUGUGAUUUGCUUAGCUUAAUUUUUAAAAUCUCAAUUCACCCCCUCUUGGGUUGCCUAGUUAGUAUGUCAGAUUUGAUACUACACAUGUUAAUUAAGCAAUUUUUUUUUUGACGUGAAUCAAGUAAAAACAAAAUAGAAAGAUAUUCUUAUAUUACUAGAUGUACAUGAUAUAUCAAUAAAAUUGGAUCUAAUUUUAGUUUUAUAUAUACUUCAUGUAAUUUUAAACUAUGCUUCUUAUUGUACUUAAAUAUCAUUUAGGAUUACUGUCAAGGAGGCUUAAAAGAAUACAAAAUCACCUUAUUUUACAAACAGUGGGGUUUGAAAGUCUAACUUUGAGGAUAGGUUUAUUAUUAAUAAAAUUUCAUACAUAUCAUCACAUAUAUUACACAAACUCAAAACUAUAAUUAUUUAAUUUAGAAUCAAAAUUAGUAAAUAUAUAAGCUAAUCGUCACAUUAUGAGUUUUUAUUUUAUAUUUGUAAGUUUUUUUUUAAAUAACUCUUACAUUAAGUUACUUGUUUUACAUUCUAUUUACAAGUAUUAUAUUCUAUUUAUAUCAUUUAUAUUUUAUUUUAUGCUUAAUGUUGAUUUACCACAUCUAUGUUACAUGUAUAAAUUUUUAUUUUGUUUAUCAAUAAUAUACUGAUUUACCAUUUUUAUGUUAAUUUAUUUGUUUUACCUUCCAUUUACAAGUUUUAUGUCUCAUUUACUUUUUUUAUGUUGUAUUUACACUUUAAUGUUAAUUUACAAGUUUUAUAUUAUAUGUAUAAGUUUUUGUUUUAUUUACUAAUGAUACACCAGUUUACUACUCCUAUAUUAGUUUACUUAUUUUACCUUCUAUUUACAAAUCUUGUAUUCUAUUAAUAUAAUUUACAUUUUAUUUUACACUUAAUGUUGAUUUAUAAGUUUUAUGAUACAUCUAUAAGUUUUUAUUUUGUUUACUAAUAAAACAUUAAUUUACCACUCCUAUGUUGAUUUACUUGUUUUAUCUUCCGUUUACAUGCUUAAUGCUUCACUUAUAUAAUUUAUGUUUUAUUUUAUACUUUAUGUUAAUUAACAAGUUUUAUAUUACAUUGUAAGUUUUUAUUUUAUUUACUAUUGAUACAUCAAUUUAUUACUCUUAUAUUAAUUUACAUGUUUUACCUUUCGUUUAGAAGUUCUAUAUUCCAUUUACAUAAUUUAUAUUUUCAUUUACACUUUAUGUUGAUUUACAAGCAUUAUGCUAUAUUUGUAAGUUGUUGUUUUGAUUAACUAAUUUACAAAUCAUAUUUUAGUUUUAUUGUUUUAUCUUACAUUAAGUCAUUAACAAGUCUUAUGUUUUAUUUAUAUAAUUUAUGUUUGGAUAAAUAUUCAAUUAAUCCCAAUAUUUUGACUUUAAUGCCCAUUUAGUUCCUAUAUUUUAAAAAGUACCUCAAAACACCCAUGUAGUUAAAUAAAUUUUAUUUUUACCCUUGCUUUUGCUUUACUUUUACAAUAAUAGCCUUCCAAAAAAAAUUUAACAUUAAUUAGGUUAUUUAUAAAAAUGUAAUUAUAAAAAUUAACUAAUAAUUAUUUAUUAACAAAUUAAUCAAUAAAUAUCAGUAUGACAGAACUAAUAUUUUUCUUAAACCCAUGCAGUAAUCUUGCAAAUAGUUUAUUUAUAAAUAAAAAUUAAUAUCAACUAACUUAAAGUGAUGUUUAAUAGCCUUACAACAAUUAUAUUAAUAUUUAUUUUAUAAAAAAAUAGUUUAGCAAAUUAAUCUUAAAAGUAAAUUAAUAACAUAAAAUUUUUUAAAAAUAAUUAUUUUAUUUUUCACCAGCUGCAGUUUGUUGAAACUUGGUGAAGACAAAUUGAGAGCUUAGAAAUCUCCAAUGAGAUAAUAAAAUAUAUAUGUUAGGUCUUCGUUCUUUAAAGAGUAGAUCCUAUUGAAAUUUGAAAAGGAAUAUCGAUUACUCACAAAUAAAACAAAUUUGCUGAGGCGGCUCGACUAAGACGUACGGGCAGCAUAACUAAGUCCUCAUAACUCUCAAGUACAGGCAUCAAAAAAUCAAAACUGAGCAUGAUGUGUGAUAUAUAUAAAUAUAUAUAUAUUCCUCUCAAGGACUAUAUAUAGAUUUAUAUAGUCCUCUUAACUCUCAAGGACAGGCAUGAAAAUAUCAAAACUGAGGAUGAUGGGUGAUAUAUAUAAAUAUAUAUAUAUUCCCUGCCUUGUAAGACAAGGUCCUCAAGCAAUUAAGCAAGAAGCAAAUUAAAAUCAUGGCUUCUAUAGCUGAUCGGGAAGAAGAGGCAAAUAAUUUCUCAUAUGCAAUGGAACUGGCAAGUGCAAUAGUGCUACCUGCAGUUAUGCAAGCAGUGGUAGAGCUUGAUGUGUUUGAGAUCAUAAGCAAAGCCGGUCCUGGUGCUAAGCUUUCGGUUUCGGAAAUUGUGGCUCAAAUUCCCUUAAAAGAUAAUAAUCCUGAAGCUGCAGCCAUGACGUUGGAUCGGGUGCUGAGGCUGCUUGUCAGCUACAAUGCUCUUCAUUGCUCUUUUGUUGAUGGACAAAGGCUCUACUCUCUUGCCCCUGUUUCUGCGUACUUUGUUCGCAAUAAUCAAAACGGCGCCUCGUUGAGUCCCUACAUGGCCUUGUGUCUCGACAAGGUCUGCUUGGAUGGCUGGUAUAUAUAGUUACUUCUUUUCUUUACAAAUUUUGAUAAAUUGGGGAAAUGAUCAAAACCUUCUAGCUGUAUAUAUCAAUGAAAUAAUCAUUUGCAUCUCAUGUUUUAAACCCAUCAAAAUCCGUCAGCUGCUAAAAAGAGAGUUAACUUCAAUUAUUUUACUUUUAAUGUGGUAAAAGAUACAAAAAAAUGAAAAUCUACGUGUUAUUGAAAUACGAAAGUAGAAAAGAUUGAUUUCAACCAACAAUUCUUUGUCUUGGUUAAUUAUGCGGUCUAGUUUUACAAACUAAGCUUCUAAAAUUGUUACUAAUUGUGUUUGGAUUUUGGAAAAUUCAGGUUUGGAUUGAAAAAGCAAAUUCUUGAAGGAGGAAUUGCGUUUAAUAAAGCCCACGGAAUGCAAAUCUAUGAUUACCUAGGCGUCGACUCAAGAUUCAAUGAUGUUUUCAACAAUGGAAUGUUAAGCCACACUUCUAUUGUCAUGGAGAAGGUCCUAGAAUCAUACAAAGGCUUUGAGCAUGUUAAAAAGCUUGUGGAUGUUGGCGGUGGCUUGGGGAUCACUC